GUCGCCGGAGAUGUUGAUGGUGAUGUUGUCGGAGAAGUUGAUGGUGAUGUUGCCGGAGAAGUCGCCGGAGAUGUUGCCGGAGAAAUUGUGGGUGAUGAAGUAGGUGUUUGACUCACCGGAGAUGUUGCGGGAGAUACCGACGGGGAAGUUGCCGGAGAAGUCGCCGGAGUUGAAGGAGGAGGAGGUCUAAUGGCUAAAACAACAGUAAUUAAUUUUUGUGAUCCAUUUUGACAAUCAUUUUUAUUUCCACUAAUAAAAAAAAAUGGACCAGAAUGAUCAAAUUUGAAAAUUGAAUUUCCAUCAUCCAUUUUCAUAAUUGGAUUAUUUGUAUUGCAUUUGUCAUAAUCAUCCUUGUUUACCACUAAUACUGAAUUUGAUCCCUUCUUGUACUUGAACACGAGAGUGUCGUUGACUUGAAAUCUCAUUCUUUCAGCCCAAUUAUUGUAAUUUUCAGAUGGAUUAGGAACCCAACCAGCUCUACCACCAACAUAGAAUUGAUAAGCAUAACAAGAGUUGAUCAAACAAGCCAAGAGAAUCACUAUAACAUGUUUAUGCAAAGCCAUGAAUAAUUAUAACAAUUUUUU
rnacentral:misc_RNA from 1 species